UAAACCCGUUCUGUGUCAGUGGCUUGGACGCAGAACAAGGAUGUCGACGACGUGCCAAGUGUCGAGCGGUCAACUCUUUUCUGGUUUUCCGCUGUUUUUCUUUCACGCUGUUUUCAAGUCGGACAACUUUCGCAAGUUGAGGCCUGACUGAGUGUCUUUUCGCAACAAUCUGCCAUUCUGGCUCCAGAGCUGCACAUGAAGACAGCGAAAUCAAUGCAGUCUCAUUUCCUUUAGCAUAAGUUGUCGCCUCUAGUGGAUUUCGAGCCAUUAUUAGUGAUAUUGUAAUCAUUCCUGUUGAGGGAAUGCCGGGCGUAAAGACCGUUUUGGUCACUCGAUGAAAAGUCACAUUGAUCGAAAGCGUCGGCACGCAACGCCGACUGACACUGAGUGCCUCCUUUUUUCCGAUGCGGUAGCUAAUUGCGCCGUUAAUCGCCGGGGGAGGCGCAGAAUCCCGACGACUUUGCCGAUCCGCUUUGGCUGUCAGUUUCAUGACUGCGGGCUGUCUAAUCCUCGGUUGUAUCUUGACAGGUUGUAACCCGAGCCCUGAGGGUGUGCUAUUGAAAUAUGAAAAGACAACAUCAAACGUGCAUGCGAGGGAGAACACGGGUGUGUCUGCAGCAUCAACCAAGUCAUUCAUGAAGUAGUAUUCCGGUGUUUCUGUGGUGAAAGAAGGCAACGGGAACAUUCGUCACAAACAUUAGUAUUCUGCCCACAGUCCUUGUUUUGCAAGACGAGCCGGUCUUUACAAACAAACAACCAGCAGAGGGCGGGGAGGAACUAUGCAGGUAUUUGGGACGCAGUCGACUGGCUCGAUCCAUCUAUGGCUGUGAUCCACUUCAAGCCCCCGUCUCUGGAUUUUCCGCCGUUCACUUUCACGGCGAAUCUGUCACACUUCUGUUGCGCGACGGUUUCUAUCCCCUUGUUUGAACUGUCAAGGCACUUUCAGUGAAGGAUGUGCUUUUGCGCUCCUUCCUCGACGGAUCAGGGAUGUCCAUUCCCCGCCUCCUCCUCCUCCCUCUCAUUCCGGGUAAAUAACCGGGCGCCCGUGUCGGGAAAUAAGACUGUCACGGCGUUCCCCGAGCGGAGUGGAUUGAGUUGUUGCACAUCCGCGAGCCGGCUUCGAUACACGGAAUGUUGCGGCAGUGACGCCGUCGCGGGCCGAAGAAAGAACAACACGGACAAACCUCCAGGAGAGCCUCUUGCAUCUCAAUAGAUGAAGGUGGACAGUCGCUGCGGACAGAAGCAGUCAAUCAACGAUGGGAAAAUCUAUCGUAAUAGACCUCUGAUGUGAACAGCUAAUCAGCCAUUUUGGUUUGAAUUAGCUCGUUUGGCUAAUUGCAGGGAUCGACGGUUGUCACCCCAAAAUUGCCCCAACACCCGUUUAAUUGCUCAUCAUGAAAUUGGGUUUACAAGUCCAUCAUAAGAUGAUGCACGACAAAGUCUGAUGGGCCCAUCCCCCAAAUUGAGACGCUACGAGGUGCCGUUUUAGUUUGAGGUAGCCGUUUUGGGCGAAUUCCAGAGCUUGAAAGUUAGAAAAAAAAAAGUAUCCUCUGACACCAGUUAAACUAAUUGACACACAAUUGGGUGGAAGUGUCGAUCUUAAAAAGAAGAAAAAGUCUCAAGGUCCCGUGUGUGAAGUUGAGCAGAAAGUUCGACAUGUUGGCUUGAAGUAGCCGUUUUGGGGCCGAGUGCAGGGAUUGUACUUUGGCCAACUUCGACUAGGCAACCCAUCCAAUUAAGCCCCGUCAGAGUUGGAGGAUCGUUCCACGGCUUCGCCGUGAACUCCUUUGCUUCCAUCUCGGGCAAUAACUCUCUCCAGCCACCGGAGGCCAGUACGCCCGUGAUAAGGUCAUCUUCUCAACGUGUGACGGCUUCGACGG